UACGUAGGGGGCAAGCGUUGUCCGGAUUUAUUGGGCGUAAAGAGCGUGUAGGCGGCUUUGCAAGUCCGUUGUGAAAACUCGAGGCUCAACCUCGAGACGCCGGUGGAAACUGCAAAGCUAGAGUCCGGAAGAGGAGAGUGGAAUUCCUGGUGUAGCGGUGAAAUGCGUAGAUAUCUGGAGGAACACCGGUGGCGAAGGCGGCAUCCUGGACCGACACUGACGCUGAGGAGCGAAAGCCAGGGGAGCAAAGCGGG
rnacentral:rRNA from 1 species